UGAGGAAUAUUGGGCAAUGCCCGCAAGGGUGACCCAGCAACGCCGCGUGGAGGAUGAAUGUCGUAAGAUUGUAAACUCCUGUUAGAGGGGAAGAAUAGUACCGGUUGGACCGGUAUAUGACUGUACCCUCAGAGAGAGCCCCGGCUAACUACGUGCCAGCAGCCGCGGUAAUACGUAGGGGGCAAGCGUUGUCCGGAUUUACUGGGUGUAAAGGGCGCGCAGGCGGGAUAAAAAGUCAGUGGUGAAAUCCUACAGCUUAACUGUAGAACUGCCUUUGAUACUUUUAUUCUUGAGUUCGGGAGAGAGAGACGGAAUUCCAGGUGUAGUGGUGAAAUACGUAGAUAUCUGGAAGAACACCAGUUGCGAAGGCGGUCUCUUGGUCCGAUACUGACGCUGAGGCGCGAAAGCGUGGGGAGCAAACA
rnacentral:rRNA from 1 species